GACGAACGCUGGCGGCGUGCUUAACACAUGCAAGUCGAACGGAACGGCCCUGCUUGCGGGGUCCUCGAGUGGCGAACGAGUGGGUAACACGUGGAUGGUCUGCCCUGCACUUCGGGAUAAGCCCGGGAAAGUGGGUCUAAUACCGGAUAGGAGCCCUUUUACGUGAUAAGGUUGGAAAGCUCUUUGGGUGUAGGGAGAGCUCGCGGGGUAUAAGCUUUUUGGUGGGGUAAUGGGCUACCAAGGCGGCGGCGGGGGUCCGGACUGAGAGGGUGGACGGCGACAUUAGGACCGAGAGGCGGCCCAGACACCUAAGGGAGGAAGAAGGGGGGAAUCUUGCUCAAUGGGCGCAAGCCUGAUGCAGCGAGGCCGCGGGGCGGAUGACGCCCUUCGGGUUGAAAAAUCUUUUCGCGAGGGACGAAGCUUGUUGCGACGGUACCUAGCUAAGAAGCACCGGCUAACUACGUG
rnacentral:rRNA from 1 species